GACGAACGCGGCGGCGUGCCUAAUACAUGCAAGUAGAACGCUGAAGGAGGAGCUUGCUCUUCUGGAUGAGUUGCGAACGGGUGAGUAACGCGUAGGUAACCUGCCUGGUAGCGGGGGAUAACUAUUGGAAACGAUAGCUAAUACCGCAUAACAUUGACUAUUGCAUGAUAGUUAAUUGAAAGGUGCAAAUGCACCACUACCAGAUGGACCUGCGUUGUAUUAGCUAGUUGGUGGGGUAACGGCUCACCAAGGCGACGAUACAUAGCCGACCUGAGAGGGUGAUCGGCCACACUGGGACUGAGACACGGCCCAGACUCCUACGGGAGGCAGCAGUAGGGAAUCUUCGGCAAUGGACGGAAGUCUGACCGAGCAACGCCGCGUGAGUGAAGAAGGUUUUCGGAUCGUAAAGCUCUGUUGUAAGAGAAGAACGAGUGUGAGAGUGGAAAGUUCACAACUGUGACGGUAUCUACCCAGAAAGGACGG
rnacentral:rRNA from 1 species